rnacentral:rRNA from 1 species
AUUGAACGCUGGCGGCAUGCCUUACACAUGCAAGUCGAACGGUAACAGGUCUUCGGAUGCUGACGAGUGGCGAACGGGUGAGUAAUACAUCGGAACGUGCCUAGUAGUGGGGGAUAACUACUCGAAAGAGUGGCUAAUACCGCAUGAGAUCUACGGAUGAAAGCAGGGAUCGCAAGACCUUGUGCUACUUGAGCGGCCGAUGGCAGAUUAGGUAGUUGGUGGGAUAAAAGCUUACCAAGCCGAUGAUCUGUAGCUGGUCUGAGAGGACGAUGGGCCGACCUGGGACUGAGAGAAGGCGCCGACUCCGACGGGAGGCAGCAGUGGGGAAUUUUGGACAAUGGGCGCAAGCCUGAUCCAGCAAUGCCGCGUGCAGGAUGAAGGCCUGCGGGUUGUAAACUGCUUUUGUACGGAACGAAAAGCCCCGGGUUAAUACCCUGGGGUCAUGACGGUACCGUAAGAAUAAGCACCGGCUAACUACGUGCCAGCCGCCGCGGUAA